GGAUUAGAUACCCUGGUAGUCCACGCCGUAAACGAUGUCUACUAGUUGUUGGGAGACUUGAUCUCUUAGUAACGAAGCUAACGCGAUAAGUAGACCGCCUGGGGAGUACGGCCGCAAGAUUAAAACUCAAAUGAAUUGACGGGGGCCCGCACAAGCGGUGGAGCAUGUGGUUUAAUUCGAUGCAACGCGAAGAACCUUACCAGGACUUGACAUCCAGAGAACUUACUAGAGAUAGUUUGGUGCCUUCGGGAAUCUAGAGACAGGUGCUGCAUGGCUGUCGUCAGCUCGUGCCG
rnacentral:rRNA from 1 species